ACUACGGAAGGGCUGUAUUUAUUGGAUACCAAAACCAUCCUUCCCUCGGGAAGUUUUGUUUGACGAUUCACAAUAACUGAUCGGAUCGCCACUGUGGUGGCGACAGGUCAUUCAACAUUCUGCCCUAUCAGCUUUCGAUGGUUGUGUAGUGGACAGCCAUGGCCAUAACGGGUAACGGAGAAUCAGGGUUCGAUUCCGGAGAAGGAGCUUGAGAAUUGGCUACUACAUCUAAGGAAGGCAGCAGGCGCGCAAAUUACCCAAUCCCGAUUCGGGGAGGUAGUGACAAAAAAUAACAAUACCGGGCCUUUUUGGGCUUGGUAAUUGGAAUGAGGGAGAGUUAAACGGACCAUCGAGUAUCCAUUGGAGGGCAAGUCUGGUGCCAGCAGCUGCGGUAAUACCAGCUCCAAUAGCGUAUAUUAAAGUUGUUGCAGUCAAAAAGCUCGUAGUUGGACUUGUGUGCGCUGUCCGCGGGUGGCCUGCGCCCAAAAGGGCGUUUCGGUUCGGCCCCGGUGGCGCCUUGAAAUCUGCAGCUGGGGGGACGUUGGCCUUAACUGGUCGGCGACCGCACGCCGGCUGCUCGGUUACUGUGAGAAAAUUAGAGUGUUCAAGGCAGGCAUUGGGUGCAAUUGAAUACAUUAGCAUGGAAUAAUAAAAUAUGGCUCCUGCCGUAUUUUGUUGGUUUUGACUGGUGGGAGUAAUGAUUGAUAGGGACGGUUGGGGGUGCUAGUAUUGAGCGGCCAGAGGUGAAAUUCAUGGAUUCGCUCAAGACUAACUUAUGCGAAAGCAUUCACCAAGGACGUCCUCUUUAAUCAAGAACGAAAGUUGGGGGAUCGAAGACGAUCAGAUACCGUCGUAGUCUCAACCAUAAACUAUGUCGACUUGGGAUCGGCGGUAGUUUUUUCAUUAAGACACUGUCGGGACCACGGGAGAAAUCAAAGUGUCUGGACUCUGGGGGAAGUAUGGUCGCAAGGCUGAAACUUGAAGGAAUUGACGGAAGGGCACCACCAGGAGUGGAGCCUGCGGCUUAAUUUGACCCAACACGGGGAAACUUACCAGGUCCAGAGAUGUAGAGGAUUGACAGAUUGAAGCCCUUUCUUGAUCACUUCGGUGGUGGUGCAUGGCCGUUCUUAGUUGGUGGAGUGAUUUGUCUGGUUGAUUCCGUUAACGAACGAGACCUCAGCCUGCUAGUGUAGUCGGCUGGAUUGC
rnacentral:rRNA from 1 species